rnacentral:rRNA from 1 species
UACGUAGGGGGCAAGCGUUGUCCGGAUUUAUUGGGCGUAAAGAGCUCGUAGGUGGUUCGGUAAGUCGGAUGUGAAAUCUCCAGGCUCAACCUGGAGGGGUCAUUCGAUACUGCCGUGACUAGAGGUCGGUAGGGGAGUGUGGAAUUCCUGGUGGAGCGGUGAAAUGCGCAGAUAUCAGGAAGAACACCCGUGGCGAAGGCGGCUCUCUGGGACGGUACUGACGCUGAGACGCGAAAGCGUGGGGAGCGAACAGG